CCUACGGGAGGCAGCAGUGGGGAAUAUUGCACAAUGGGGGAAACCCUGAUGUAGCGACGCCGCGUGAGUGAAGAAGUAAUUCGUUAUGUAAAGCUCUAUCAGCAGGGAAGAAAAUGACGGUACCUGAGUAAGAAACCCCGGCUAACUACGUGACAGAAGCCGCGGUAAUACGUAGGGGGCAAGCGUUAUCCGGAUUUACUGGGUGUAAAGGGAGCGUAGACGGCAGUGCAAGUCUGGAGUGAAAGGCGGGGGCUCAACCCCCGGACUGCUCUGGAAACUGUACGGCUUGAGUGCAGGAGAGGUAAGUGGAAUUCCUGGUGUAGCGGUGAAAUGCGUAGAUAUUAGGAGGAACACCAGUGGCGAAGGCGGCUUACUGGACUGUAACUGACGUUGAGGCUCGAAAGCGUGGGGAGCAAACAGGAUUAGAUACCCUUGUAGUC
rnacentral:rRNA from 1 species